ACCCUUGCUCAACUUGUUGUUAUUCUCCCUGAGCGAUGGCGUCCAAAAAGCCUGAUAAAACCUAUGAAGAAAUGGUCAAGGAAGUAGAAAGGCUUAAACUGGAGAAUAAAACACUUAAACAAAAGGUUAAGUCUUCAGGCGCUGUCUCAUCAGAUGAUAGCAUCUUGACAGCUGCCAAGAGAGAAAGUAUCAUUGUCUCUUCAUCCAGAGCACUAGGAGCAGUGGCUAUGAGAAAAAUCGAGGCUAAAGUCAGAUCCCGGGCGGCCAAAGCUGUUACAGAGCAGGAACUAACCUCUCUUCUCCAAUCGCUGACCCUGAGAGUUGACGUGUCUAUGGAGGAAACUACUGUGGGUGCCAGCGGAGGGAUUGGCCCAUCCUCUCAAACAGAGACCAAGAAAAGAAGACCCAGGUCCAAAUCAAGACACAGACAUGAUCAUGAAUAAAAAGAAACACUUGAAUCUAUAAUCAAAAUUGUCAGGUGUGAUUAUCUGGAAUUAGUUGUGGUUGAACGGCGCCUGUGUACUCAAAGGAUCCGCCCAUAGCUGAGUUGGGAGUAGAGACUCCAAUCAACUGGCUCAAGUAGACCUGCUUCGAUCCGUGCCAGUCCUAUAAGAACAGAAAACAUGGGGGAUGAAUUUUAUUAUCCUUCUCUGGAAAGCGUGGUCCACACCUUUUGUGUCAUAGAUACUAGGGAACAUAAUAGAGUAAGUGCCUGUUUGUGUAAGCUUCAGGUGCUGUGUAAAAUUUGUCAGACACUGCGCCACAACUUGGAUACAGAGCCAUUUUUGUUGCCCCACUUGAGGGAACUAAUUAUCAGACACCUAACACUAUUGGAGAGGUUGUCCACUACCUCCAAAUUUCAGCGCAUACUCGACUACAUGAAGCUAUCCCUUGAGGCAAAUGAUUCAAACUUGUUACAAGACUUGGCCAUAGGCACUGUCAAUUUACUGGGCUGUCAAAGUCCAGAGAUUUUGUCUAUCCCAUAUGACAAAGAUCAGCCUGUACAUGAAUGGUGUGCAUGUUUCCUGACCUCUGUAGACGAGGAAGCCUUGAGAAAAAUAUCUUCUAUGUUGGACAAUAAACACUUUUCUUAUAUGUACAACUUUAAAACAUUCUUAAAGUAUUCACUAGAGUUAGAAACAGCUGCAGACUUUGAUUUAUCUACUGGACUCAAUGUCCUUGUGUAUUGGGUAAGCGUCUUUAAACUGUUCAGUGUUUGUGUCCAAAGUCAGUUUCUGCUGGACAGCCUUGUGGCAUUUAAUGCCCUUUUUAAAAAUCAUGUAAAAGAGUUAGAAGCGAUUGUGGAAUCUGACACAAACCUGCUCUGCUAUAGCACAUCUGUUGUGUGGGCAAAAUUGUCUAACUUAAACCAUCUGCUCCACAGACUUCAGACUAGUAACAACACUUUAGUUUUUGAUGAAAUACUGAUCUGUCUGCGUGGUUUACAAAUUUAUAUAAAAUGUUUACCUACCUUAUCGGCUGAAGGGGAAUCCGAGUCAGAGGCCAUCGCUGCAGAAAUUCCCUCGUAGUGCAGGAGUUGUAUUUUUGAGUGUAGAUUGAAAAGAGUUGUGCUCUCUCCUCAGCCUUUGAAGGGACAUUUCAUGACUCAUGUAGGAGGAGCUACCAGAUUUCCAUAAAAGUGGGAGGCUAUUAUUUCUUGCAGACUGCAGCACAUUGUGGGAUAAUGUGUUCAAAAAUGGACCUUGAAACCCGUGAAGGUGGUGGUUGCCAGCAGGUUUCAAUUCUCAUGGUCACAUCUGACAGAGAAAAGGAACAGUAUGAGAAAUUUAUGAACAUACUUAAGAAUCUUUCAAAUUGUACUGAUAUAUCUCAGGUCGUGGCAGAUGCUAAAAAAAUCUAUGAUUCCAGGGAAUUUUGUUAUGUGCCUGCCCUUCUCACUCUGUUCAAGAAGUUGCCUUCUGUUCAUAAAUGGCCUGAAAAUGAAAACUGUAAUGAGGUGCUAAGUGCUGCCUUCUUUGUGUGCCAGCUCUUAUUUUUUCAUAACUUCCCAGCCUCACCAGCUUUUACAGUGGAUGAAAUGUUUGCAACAGUGGCUGCUAGAUUGAAGGAUCUGAUAGAAUAUUCAUGUGACUGUGAGAACUGUGAAUUGUUGGCUGAAUCCCUGACAAAUUAUAAGUUUUCCCUGGUACCUAUAAAGAUCAGGCCACACACCGAUACCUGUGUCUCACUGAAAACACUCCAGCGGCUACGGACUGCCAUGUUAGGCAAUCCUGAAACCCUGAGUAUUUGGACCCUUGAUGACCUGGUGGAGGACCCAGUAGUCUUCAAAGGCUAUGAAAGCGCAAUUAGGAGAGAAUUUGCUGAGCAUGUCACAUGUUUGAACAUGUGCUGGGUUGUGAAGAUAAUCUUGGACUGCAUGUCUCAGCCAACAGCUCUGCUUCGGGAUUGUAUUCAGAAGGGUGCAAAGAAUAAUGGACUCCAGCUGGACACUUCGAGUACCUGGACGUGGCCAGCAGCACGUAUUGCUGAAAAGGAAGUCAUAGAACAUACCAUGAGUGUUUGUGUACAGGAUAUGACUAGAAGUCAUGAUCAGGAAUUCUACACAGAGGCCUUUAAGGAAGAUCUCCAUAUAGGAUUAAAGAGACUAGUUGCCAUGGUCCUUGGGCAGAAUCAUAGUUGGUUAGAUGGCUUUCUGACAGACACUAUAGUGACAGGUAAAGCAUAGCCUGGGGCAUAGUUCUUUGAUGAAUCAUCAUAAAUAUGAUGGCUAAUGUGGUCCUUUUGUGUAUUAAUGCAGAUAUGUUUAUGUAUCCAGGUGUGUUGCUUGAAAGGUAUUUUGCUGUACUAACCCAACACCACCUAUUUAUCAUGUUUGGAAGCCUAUUAAAAACUGUGCUAUUGAC
rnacentral:tmRNA from 1 species